rnacentral:rRNA from 1 species
GGGCCCGCACAAGCGGUGGAGCAUGUGGUUUAAUUCGAUGAUACGCGAGGAACCUUACCAGGGCUUAAAUGUAGAAUGACAGAUUGGGAAACCAGUCCUUCUUCGGACAAUCUACAAGGUGCUGCAUGGUUGUCGUCAGCUCGUGCUGUGAAGUGUCGGGUUAAGUCCCAUAACGAGCGCAACCCCUACCUCUAGUUGCCAGCGAGUAAUGUCGGGGACUCUAGAGGGACUGCCGGUGCAAACCGAGAGGAAGGUGGGGAUGACGUCAAAUCAUCACGGCCCUUACGUCCUGGCUACACACGUGCUACAAUGGCAGUGACAAUGGGCAGCGACAGGGCGACCUGUAGCAAA